rnacentral:rRNA from 1 species
AAAUUGAAGAGUUUGAUCAUGGCUCAGAUUGAACGCUGGCGGCAGGCCUAACACAUGCAAGUCGAACGGUAACAGGAAACAGCUUGCUGUUUCGCUGACGAGUGGCGGACGGGUGAGUAAUGUCUGGGAAACUGCCUGAUGGAGGGGGAUAACUACUGGAAACGGUAGCUAAUACCGCAUAACGUCGCAAGACCAAAGAG